GCGCUGAUAGCUCAAUUAGGUAGAGCAACGGAUUCUUAAUCCGUAGGUCGAGGGUUCGAUUCCCUCUCAGCGCA
rnacentral:tRNA from 1 species